UCGGAUUGUAGUCUGCAACCCGACUACAUGAAGCUGGAAUCGCUAGUAAUCGCGGAUCAGAAUGCCGCGGUGAAUACGUUCCCGGGUCUUGUACACACCGCCCGUCACACCAUGGGAGUUGGGAAUACCCGAAGCCUGUGAGCUAACGUAAGAGGCAGCAGUCGAAGGUAGAAUCAAUGAUUGGGGUGAAGUCGUAACAAGGUAGC
rnacentral:rRNA from 1 species